CAAAACUUGGGAAUUCUGCAAGGAAGGGCAUCUCCUAGAGCUGUGAGCGUAUAAUCCUGCUCCCAGUUGCACAGUGCUGUCUGAGUGGAAUACUGUUCUGGGGAUUCCUGCCAGCAAGCAUGGGAUGUGUUCCAAAUACUAGCAGAUACAAAGGAUGGAGAGCCUUGGUGAAUUUGGUCCACAGCCUGAGGGGAAACCUUGUUACUACGUAAAAAGAUGAGAUCACAGUAUCUCCAAACAAGUACACAACAUGAGAUGGCUAUUCAUCGGCAGAGUAUGCAGAGUAAACACUGAAGAUUGGUUAUUCUAGCAUCUCAUAAGAAAGCAGAACUUUUCAUUUUC